AAUUGUUAUUUUGGCAGAUUAGUGUAUUAAAUUUAGAAUUUAAAAAUGUAUUUUUAUACAAAUAAUAC
rnacentral:tRNA from 2 species